GAUGAACGCUGGCGGCGUGCCUAAUACAUGCAAGUCGAGCGAACAGAUGAGGAGCUUGCUCCUCUGACGUUAGCGGCGGACGGGUGAGUAACACGUGGAUAACCUACCUAUAAGACUGGGAUAACUUCGGGAAACCGGAGCUAAUACCGGAUAAUAUAUUGAACCGCAUGGUUCAAUAGUGAAAGACGGUUUUGCUGUCACUUAUAGCUGGAUCCGCGCCGCAUUAGCUAGUUGGUAAGGUAACGGCUUACCAAGGCAUCGAUGCGUAGCCGACCUGAGAGGGUGAUCGGCCACACUGGAACUGAGACACGGUCCAGACUCCUACGGGAGGCAGCAGUAGGGAAUCUUCCGCAAUGGGCGAAAGCCUGACGGAGCAACGCCGCGUGAGUGAUGAAGGUCUUCGGAUCGUAAAACUCUGUUAUUAGGGAAGAACAAAUGUGUAAGUAACUAUGCACGUCUUGACGGUACCUAAUCAGAAAGCCACGGCUAACUACGUG
rnacentral:rRNA from 1 species